rnacentral:rRNA from 1 species
UACGUAGGGGGCUAGCGUUGUCCGGAAUCAUUGGGCGUAAAGCGCGUGUAGGCGGUUCGGUAAGUCCGCUGUGAAAGUCGGGGGCUCAACCCUCGGAAGCCGGUGGAUACUGUCGAGCUAGAGUACGGAAGAGGCGAGUGGAAUUCCUGGUGUAGCGGUGAAAUGCGCAGAUAUCAGGAGGAACACCGAUGGCGAAGGCAGCUCUCUGGUACGUGACUGACGCUGAGACGCGAAAGCGUGGGGAGCGAACAGG